UCGAUUAGAAACCCAAACGAAGUAUCGGGAGAAAUACUCGCUCCUGCGCAACCAGAGAAAUUAGGAUCGGGGACUUGAUUACACUAGUUAAUCACUAAUGCCCUUUUGGUACCUAAUCUUGUUUAAACCCUAAGGCUUUUUGGAUGUUUGAGAGAUUUUCCAUGCAUUUUUGGGAGGAAAAACAUUUUUUGAGUCAUUUUCUAAUUUUUUUGGACACAAAAGGGAUUUUUUGGGAUUUUUUGGUAUUUUUUUGGAAAAAUACAAGUCUUUUUGGCUUUUUCUGAAUUUUUGGCCUUUUU
rnacentral:lncRNA from 1 species